rnacentral:rRNA from 1 species
GGCUGGUGCCAGCCGCCGCGGUAAAACCAGCUCUUCAAGUGGUCGGGAUAUUUAUUGGGCUUAAAGUGUCCGUAGCUUGUAUGAUAAGUUCCUGGUAAAAUCUAAUAGCUUAACUAUUAGUAUGCUAGGAAUACUGUUAUACUAAAGGGCGGGAGAGGUCUGAGGUACUUCAGGGGUAGGGGUGAAAUCUUAUAAUCCUUGAAGGACCACCAGUGGCGAAGGCGUCAGACUGGAACGCGCCUGACAGUGAGGGACGAAAGCCAGGGGAGCGAACCGGAUUAAAUACCCGGGUAGUCCUGGCCGUAAACAAUGCACACUAGGUGUUGGUAUGGCUAUGACCCAUAUCANUGCCGAAGGGAAACCAUUAAUUGUGCCGCCUGGGAAGUACGGUCGCAAGGCUAAAACUUAAAGGAAUU